CUCCUUAAGAUUUUAUUUUUUUAAAUGUGUUUGUUUCUGUAUGUGGAUUUGUACAUAUGAGUGCAAGUGCCCACGGAAGCAAGAGGGUGUUCGGUCCCCUGGGGCUAGGGUUAUAAAUAGUCUGUCCCUAACGUGGGACUCUAAACUCGGAUUGUCCGGAAGAACUGUACAUGGACCUAACUGCUGAGCGGUCUCCAUAAAAUAUGGCCAAAUUGAAACUAGAAAGGUUCUGGCACUCAUUCCAAAUUCGAAUUCAUCCUCACCCCAGGACUAACUUUUCCUGCCGGCCCAACACCUUCUUCUCAAACAUUCCACACUGCAGCCAAGAGGGAGCUUGCAAAAACAUCCCUCCAACCAGUCACCCCAGGAUAGCCCGUGAGCCCUCUACAAGCAAUGUCCCUAUUACCCUACUUAUCGCUGUACCUUCAGUCUGGCACCGUGUGGGACACUCAAAACUGCGUCUGAUGGACGCAAUGUACAGAUAAAUGUGGGAUCAGCGAGAACAGCAAGAUCCAAGUGGAGAGGCAAUCAAAUGUGGGUACGUGUGUGUAAGGUGGACGUGCUGACAUACGCCUUCCAUGCCAGCACUGGAAAGGUGGAGGCAGGAGCAUCAGAGUUGGGACUCAGCACGGCUACCCGGCAUCCAAACCAAAGAGCAAGCGGAUGGCAGCAGGUACCCCGUAGGAAUGAGACAAAGCGCAUGCAGAAAACGGAGAAGAGUUCAAAGUCAACAGGAUAUCAGCUCAGCACAGCUGCACCAGAACACGGCAGCAGGACAAGGGCGGCCCCGGGAAGGUCUCUGCCAUCUCGGCAGGGCGGAGAUCUCCGCAAGGCGCAGCCUCCACGGCGCACGUGACUGGAUGAGUCACCGCGCCAGGAAGCCGCACGAAACCUCGGUUCGGCAGCUCGAACGCAGGCUGACUUAGGACAAGGCAGCGACGUCUAGAGGAAGCCGCAGAGGGGGCCGCGUCCCUUGGCGGGAGGGGAGUGAGGGCCGCGGACGGCCCGGACCCAAGCUUAGACGCUUGGCCCACGGCACACAGGACAGGGAGACCGACUACCUUCACCUAAACGCUGGCGCAGGGAAAUGACGCAGCGCAUCGACCAAUCGGGAAGUGUCUGACUCUGAAUCUCGCGAUAUUCACGGGAGGAAAAUGAGCCAAUCGCAAUGCCCCUUCUUCCAGGCCGCGGUGAUUGGCUUGAGGACUCACAUGAUCGUUCGAGGCCACACGUGACCGCUCCCCUGGCGACACGUGAUCGACCUGCCACUCUGCAGAAGUGGCUUCUGGACAGCGGCAAACAGGCGUCCGUGGAACUGAACGGCAGGUCCUGGGUUACAGCCCCGUCACUUUCCACUUGAUAGGCGGGGUUGGUGACCAGGGUCCCAUGUGACCCCCGUCAUGGAACCCCGAGACGCGACCGUAGCGUGGAUAGGACAGGGCCAACCUGUCCCCUGUAGCAGCUCUGAGAACUGAAGUAGGUGGGAGGCUGGGGAUGCCGAGAGAUUAACGAAAGAAACCAGUAAGCAGGGUCAGGAAACUCGUCCCACCUAAGUGGCGUGUACCGGACACGUGGUAACGUAAAGAGGUAGAGGUGCUUGCUAUGUAAAUAACUAUGGAGGACCAGAACUCACAUAGAUGAGGACUUUGAGCACCCCGUCUUUCCCACUACCACUCACUGGGUGCCUCUUUCUUUCCUUCUUUCUCUAAUUUACUCAUAAGACAGGGUCUCGCCUUGGCUAGCCUUAUUGUCUGUCUGUCUGUCUGUCUAUAAAACAGAGUCUCUUCUUGGCUGACCUGGAACUCACUGUGUAGACCCUAAACUCAAGAGAUGUCCCUGCCUCUGCCCUAAGAAUAAAGGCGUGCACUUCCUGGCUUGACUUCUGUCUCCCUCUCUCCUUUCUUUGUAGUAAACUGCCUGUCUCCGACUCUGUCCCUGAGUCUUACUGUUCUAGGGCUCAAAAAUCUGGAAAUUUGUGCUGAUUCCCUCCAGGGUCAUAGCCAUGCCUGUUCCAAGGAAGCCCUAGCGAUGUCUGUUUCCCACUGCUUCCUGCCCAAGAUACUGGUAACCCUGGAAGGUAGCCCUGGUGUGGGGGUGCUGUCAGAAGCAUGGACACAAUUCUCUCUCUCCAUGAUGUUAGAAUUUCCUGAAUAAUAAAUUGGCAGUCUGCAUCCCUUGUAUUGAUGUAA
rnacentral:lncRNA from 1 species